CCUACGGGGGGCAGCAGUGAGGAAUAUUGGUCAAUGGGCGCGAGCCUGAACCAGCCAAGCCGCGUGAGGGAAGACGGUCCUAUGGAUUGUAAACUUCUUUUGUCGGGGGGCAAAAGCCGCCACGCGUGCCUGUCCGAGAGUACCUGAAGAAAAAGCAUCGGCUAACUCCGUGCCAGCAGCCGCGGUAAUACGGAGGAUGCGAGCGUUAUCCGGAUUUAUUGGGUUUAAAGGGUGCGUAGGCGGACGAUUAAGUCAGCGGUAAAAUCCCGGGGCUCAACCUCGGCGAGCCGUUGAAACUGGUUGUCUUGAGAGUGUGAGAGGUAUGCGGAAUGCGUGGUGUAGCGGUGAAAUGCUUAGAGA
rnacentral:rRNA from 1 species